AUACAGAGGUCCCAAGCGUUGUUCGGAUUCACUGGGCGUAAAGGGUGCGUAGGUGGUGAAUUAAGUCGGGUGUGAAAUCUCCGGGCUCAACCCGGAGCGUGCGCCCGAAACUGAUUUGCUAGAGGAUAGGAGGGGAGACUGGAAUUCUCGGUGUAGCAGUGAAAUGCGUAGAUAUCGAGAGGAACACCGGUGGCGAAGGCGAGUCUCUGGACUAUUCCUGACACUGAAUCACGAAAGCCGGGGGAGC
rnacentral:rRNA from 1 species